UCCAUCUUCUCUCUCCAACUCUGAGCCUCCUGCCUCCCCCUUGGAGGGGCCCUUGUGAUUACACUGGGCUCAGUGGCCUAACACAGGACCAUCUCCUCAUCUCAAGAGCUUUAACUUACUCACAUCUAUAAGGGCCCUUUGCCUUGUAAGGCCCCACAUUCACAGGUCCUGGGGAUCAGGAGGCAGACAGCUUUGGCAAGAUUCAGCUACCCCACCAGGUGAUGCAGAUCAGCCCACCCUCGGGCCUGUUUUGUGGGGUCAUUUUAUCCUGCACCCUGAGGGUCACAGUGCCAUCCUCUCUCUUCCCUGAGGUCCAGGCAGGCCGUGGGGAAGGGCUGAGGGUCAGAAGAGCUGGUUCUAGCCCUGGCAACACUUCCCACUUAGGCCUUUGGGCCUGGGCCUCAGUUUCCCAUCCUGUACAUGAGGACAACACUCCUCCUACCCCUUUCCAGCUCCCUGGUCUUCAAAGAUGGCAAGGAAAGUGGAUGAGGAGGUCCAAGCAGUGGGUGACAGCAGGACCACCUGGGGCCGACACUAUCCCCAGGUGACAUCAACGCAGGAGAGAGCUGGCAUCUUGUCACCUUCUCGCAGUCACCCCAGUGUCAGCCCAGCUCUGGGCAGUCUGACUGCAUUGCUCGCACAGGCAUUGCUGGCUGUUGUGCCCCUCAGGAAGCGGGGGUGGUGGGGAUGGACAGGAAGCGGCGGUCCAGUGUUCAGGGAAUGAUCUCAUCUGGUAAUUUUUAAAAUUAAAAUUUUCAGUAGUUUGGCUGAGAAGGACCAGGGAGCGGGUGAUUCAUGCAAACAGGACAGAGCCCAAGGAGGUCACAGGCUGGAGAAAUGUAAGCAUGGAGGUAGAGGGGCAGGGUGUGCAUCAGGGCUUCGGCCAGGGCCUGAUGGCCGCGUCUGGGGAGGCUGAAGUCAAGCUCACUCAUCAAGGUAGAUAGGGAAAGACCUGGAAUGCUGGGAGGGGAGCUGGCAGGAGGGCAAGGCUGACCCAUUAGUACCCCUUGCCCCUGGGGCAGGUGGCAGCAGGAGGGGCUGGUUGUCUGUGGUCCCUACUGGCCCUGCUCUGCCUUGGGGCUGGCUGGUGACCAGGCUAUGAAUCAGGGCAUGAAAGGGAUGGGGUGGUGCCCCUCCUCCUGCCCGCAGGCAGCGGACCCUCAUCCGCCCACACGUUAGGAGGGACUAGCUUCUGGGGACUCAGGAGCCCUCCUGGGGCCUCGAGUCCCAGGGAGAGAGCAUCACACAGCCACGCAGACAUCCCGGGCAGCGGAGCAGCCCACGAAACAGCAGGCAGCGGGGAAGGGCUGCAGCAGCCGCGGGGUGUGUUGGGAGGGUAAUGGCGGGGCAGCACGGCGCCUGCGCAUCCCCGGCCGCGGGGCCGUGAAGGACGUCCCCUCCACGUGGGGCCGCGACACGACGGCUCCUACAAUCAAAUAGGAGCCUCCCCGCACGCCGCGCCGGAGAGGUACAGGACGGACCCCGCCCACGCUCAGCAGGCGAGCCCCUCCCUGCUCCCUUUGCCCCGGCCUGCGCAGGCGCAGGGGGCGGGGCCUGGUGAUACCACGCCCCGCGCGGCGCAGGCGCUUUGACGUCACGACGGCGGACGCCGGAAGCAGAGCCCCCGCACGCCGUUGCCGGGCAACGGGCCGGCGCGGGCCUUGGGGUCGGUGAGCUGCUGGCUGCGCCCGCGCGGAGGCGGCGGCGCAGCGCGGCGAGGUGGGUGCGGGCCCCAGCUGGACACCCAGGCCCGAGCGCGCCCAGCCCGUCCCUCGGGAGCCGCCGCCUCGGACCCGGCCCGGGCUGCCCUGCGGCCCGCCCCGCAAGGGUCCCAUCCCGACCUACCGUGGGAACCUCUGGGUGCCCGGACUCUUACCCCCUGGCCAGACUGGGCCUCCGGACCCCUGCCCACCCGGCCGGGGCGGGACCCCGCAGCGCGCCCACCCUCCCCGGCUGAGCCGACCCCGCAGCGCCUUGGUCUCCGGGACAGGCCCCUGUGCGGGACUGGUCGUCGGCGUGUAGGAGGAAGCCGGGCAGCCCCGCUCACUUUCCCCUGGGUGACGAGGCUGCGGGUGUAGUUUGUGUCCGUUCCACAGCGACACUGGACCCACACCAGGCUAUUCACACUCCCGAGGAAGCCACCAGCAGCUACUGGGCAGCGGCGAGCAGGCGGCCCCCCAGGCCCUGUCCAGCCCUGGGCAGCCCCAGCACAGCAGUGUGUAUGUCUCCUGAGCAUCUUCCUGGCGCGUCUGUGCGGGCCUGGCGGCACCAGCAUGCAAGGCCAGCCGGAGCUGGGGGGAGCGCCUGGCCAGGUGCUCCCUCCCAGCGGGUCUCUGAGUGACCUCGCAGAGGGAGCAGGCGAGGUUUCCCUCCACCAGGCUUCUAAAGACAGCGGUGCAGGCGAGACACCUGGGGCACAGAGUGGCGACGAUGUGGAGUGGCCCAUUCUCAACUAUGAGAACAUUUUUAGGUUUGCUUUUCAAGAAGUACCAGUCCAGCAGACAACUGAAGAUGUUUCCACCUUAGACCUUUUCUUAGAAAUAAGCAGUGAAGAAAAACCUGGCCUGGGAUCUGUACAUAAAUUGUGUUCUGAAUCUAGAAAACUCUGGAGAGCUCUUCAGAACACAGACACCACGUUGACAUCCCAAUGCCUCUGGAGCGAGUCCCGCUGCCAGGAAAACUACUUUCUCGUUCUCGGAAUAGAUGCUGCUCAGAAGGCACCUGCCCGGGGCCAGGCCAACAAGCAUCCAAGUGUGCCCGGCCCUCAGCCCGAAGUGAAGGAGGUGCCACAGCAGAACGCCGUGAGUACACCCCCUGCCAGGAGGGCAGGCCCCUGGGGGAGCUGUGCAGGGUGGAGAAGUCGGCCAGGGUACGGGCGGGGCAGGAGUGUCCUCUGUUUGGGGGCCACAGGGCGAAUCUGCACCACAGGUGCUGAUGGAGGUGGUGGGUGUGGGGGCCGGGGGCUGCAGCGGGCCCAGGGCAGGGCAGGGGGCUCUGGCAUGGACACAGUGAACAUGGGUGCCACAGAGCAGGGGGUACAGGUAGAGGCGUGGCAUCAGCCACAAGGUGGGUCCCUAAGGCCACGACCAGAGGCCACAGCACACAAGUCUCACUGGGUGCACUGGUCUCACACCAACUUACACAGGGUCAGGCUCAUGGGUUAUCAAAGAAAAUGCAAAUUAGAGUGGGGGCUGCCUUCCAGCAAUCGUGUUGGCAAGGACCUUUUUCCAUUUUUAAAAGCAUUAUGGAAAUUUUCAAACAUGAAAAACUCAAAAGGGGUGGCCGACAAGCCCCGGUGAAGAUCGGGCACAGGAAUGGUGGUCAUGUUGGCCCAGGGCCACACUGAGUGUCCAGGAAGGAAGUGAGGGGCCGGAAGGAGUGAGGAGGCCCCCGAGAGGGCCACCCUGGCUGUGUCUUCGUGCAGGGAAGUCAGGGGGCGCAGGGGGAGGCUCAGAGGAGGGACAGCUCCAGGCCAUGGCAGGCCAGGUGGCUUAGCCGGGAGGUGGCAGCACAGACCUCUGUUGAGUGUCGAGGGCACUGUGGUUCUGAGGGACAGGGUGGCCAGGAGCCAGGUGACAGGAGGGCAGGGCCUGGCCGGCCACCCACAGAGUGUUCACACAGUCACCGCAUUUUGCCGUUGUGCGGUGCGAUGUGCGGGAGGGGCCUAGGUGAGAAAGAAGAGCAGGGGGAAAACAACCUGUGAGCUGCCUGCCCACGGCUGAUGGCGCUGUCUCCCCAGAGCCUCUCCGGGGGCCAGGGCCACACUGCGGAAGGCCCAGAUCUCAAGGAGCCCGGGGACCCCAGUGCGCACGGCUUCCGUCUGCACCGCUGCAGAGCGCUGAUCCAGACCAAGCUCUCGGGGACGCCCGGCG